rnacentral:rRNA from 1 species
UGAGGAAUAUUGGACAAUGGGCGCAAGCCUGAUCCAGCCAUGCCGCGUGUGUGAAGAAGGCCUUCGGGUUGUAAAGCACUUUCAGCGAGGAGGAAGGGAGUUGUGUUAAUAGCACAGCUUCUUGACGUUACUCGCAGAAGAAGCACCGGCUAACUCUGUGCCAGCAGCCGCGGUAAUACAGAGGGUGCAAGCGUUAAUCGGAAUUACUGGGCGUAAAGCGCACGUAGGCGGUUUUUAAGUCAGAUGUGAAAGCCCCGGGCUCAACCUGGGAAUUGCAUUUGAAACUGGAAAACUAGAGUGUGUGAGAGGGGGGUAGAAUUCCAAGUGUAGCGGUGAAAUGCGUAGAGAUUUGGAGGAAUACCAGUGGCGAAGGCGGCCCCCUGGCACAACACUGACGCUCAGGUGCGAAAGCGUGGGGAGCAAACAGGAUUAGAUACCCCCGUAGUCCCUGAGCGGGCUGGCAAGGCGCAU